ACAAACAAAGGGGAAUUGUGCAUGGAAUUUAUUUAUUUGUUUGUUUGUGUGUUGUCUUGCUUGCUUGUUUAUGAGGCACUACUACAGCCGCGGGGUCUGCGUCUGCGGUCUGGAGUCGAAGCUGGUGUCAUUUCUAAUCAUCCGCCUCUUUCAAUCAUGAUUCUGCGUGCAGAAUGCCAAAGAAACAGGCUGCCGCCAGUCCCCAUGGCUAACCUGUACCUGCUAAAGUUGGACAAACUUGACCUGCUGAUCCAUGGCCAGGUGUACAUCGAUUCCCCGGGUCUUACUAGAUUAGAAUGGUGCUUUGUUGAAAACCCCACCCACAGGGGCAAACUGAGAAGGGGACACAUUCCUUGAUAUGUUGACUUAUCCUAAGACAUUUUAAGAGGCUGAGAUGGUGACCCAGACACAAGCGUUUGCAAAACAUCUACAGUUAAUUUAAGGAUUGCGGCGAUCCAGAACCUAUCCCAGAGGCAUAG